GACGAACGCUGGCGGCGUGCCUAACACAUGCAAGUCGAACGGCAAGGCCCUGAUUUCGUGGGGUGCUGGAGUGGCGAACGGGUGAGUAACACGUGUGUAACCUGACCUUGUCUUUGGGAUAACUUAAGGAAAGUGGGGCUAAUACCGGAUAGGAGACGAUGUAGCAUGGAGGGGGUUGGAACGUCUCGGCGGUUGGGGAUGGAUGAGCGGAUUAUCGGCUUGUUGGUGGGGUAGUGGCUGACCAAGGCUUUGACGGGUAGGCGGCCUGAGAGGGUGACCGGCCACAUGGGGACUGAGAUACGGCCCAGACUCCAACGGGGGGCAGCAGUGGGGAGUAUUGCACAAUGGGCGCAAGCCUGAUGCAGCAACGCCGCGUGCGGGAAGACGGCCUUCUGGGAAUAAACCGCUUUCGCCUGUGACGAAGCGGGAGUGACGGUAAUGGGUAAAGAAGCACCGGCUAACUACGUG
rnacentral:rRNA from 1 species